rnacentral:rRNA from 1 species
UUUGCCUACGGGAGGCAGCAGUGAGGAAUAUUGGUCAAUGGGCGAGAGCCUGAACCAGCCAAGUCGCGUGAGGGAAGACGGUCCUAUGGAUUGUAAACCUCUUUUGCCGGGGAGCAAAAAGCGGUACGUGUACCGCAUCGAGAGUACCCGGAGAAAAAGCAUCGGCUAACUCCGUGCCAGCAGCCGCGGUAAUACGGAGGAUGCGAGCGUUAUCCGGAUUUAUUGGGUUUAAAGGGUGCGUAGGCGGGCAUUUAAGCCGGCGGUCAAAUGUCGGGGCUCAACCCCGGCCGGCCGUCGGAACUGGG